GCGGAGGAAAAGAAACCAACAGGGAUUGCCCCAGUAACGGCGAGUGAAGCGGCAAAAGCUCAAAUUUGAAAUCCUGCGGGAAUUGUAAUUUGAAGGUUUCGUGGUCUGAGUCGGCCGCGCCCAAGUCCAUUGGAACAUGGCGCCUGGGAGGGUGAGAGCCCCGUAUGGCGCACGCCGACUCUUUGCACCGCGGCUCCGACGAGUCGAGUUGUUUGGGAAUGCAGCUCUAAGUGGGUGGUAAAUUCCAUCUAAAGCUAAAUAUUGGCGAGAGACCGAUAGCGAACAAGUACAGUGAUGGAAAGAUGAAAAGCACUUUGAAAAGAGAGUGAAACAGCACGUGAAAUUGUUGAAAGGGAAGGGCUUGCAAGCAGACACGGUUUUACCGGGCCAGCGUCGAAAAGGGGGGAGGAACAAGAACUCGAGAAUGUGGCGCGCACCUUCGGGUGCGCGUGUUAUAGCUCGUGUUGACGCCUCCAUCCCUUUUCGAGGCCUGCGAUUCUAGGACGCUGGCGUAAUGGUUGCAAGCCGCCCGUCU
rnacentral:rRNA from 1 species